rnacentral:rRNA from 1 species
AUGUUCUCCGCUGUUUCCCUCUCUCGCGCCAACAACAUCCGAGCCGCUCUCACCAACGCACAGAAGGGGUCCCAAUCCGCCUCAGCGUACUUCGGCCACAUGCGCUCGCUCUCCAACGAACUCGCGGCGGCGGGCAAACCCAUCUGUGAGACAGAACUCAUCUCCUUCAUCAUCGCGGGCCUCGACAUGGAAUAUCAGCCGAUCGUCUCUGCGCUGGACGUCCGCACCGAGCCGAUCACCGUCGACAUCCUCUUCUCCAUGGUGGCGAACUUUGACCAGCGGGUCGAGAUGUUCCACGGCAACGGCGGCGGCACCUUCAAGUCGUCGGCAAACAUUGCUUCUCGUGGUCGCGACAACAAGGGCAACUACCGCAACCAGAAGGGCAACGGUGGUGGCUCUCGUGGCGGCGGCGGUGGCUACGGUGGCGACGGCGGCUAUGGUGGCACCAGCCACGGCAAUGGAGGCGGCGGCUACAAUGGUGGUGGCGGCUACAACGGUGGUGGCAACUACCACCCGAGCAACAACCAAGGCGGCGGCGGGGGCUAUCAUGGUGGUGGUGGCGGCUACCAUCACCAGGGUCCCCCAAACGGUGACAACAACGCGCGGCGCCCCACCCCC